CUCCUCUGGUUGCUGAACCCCCAAAUCCCACCCUUGGUUGAUCCCUAAACACUUUCCCCAAAUCCCGGCCCGUUUGCACACUUAGAGGAAGUUUAGGGAGAAAUCUGAAUGGAUUUUAGCAAGUUUUAUCCUGGUUUUUAGAGCUACUUCUCAUUCUCUUCAUUCCCUCAUUCCUCCCUUCAGAGCUUUUUACACUCCUCUGGUUGCUGAACCCCAAAAUCCCA
rnacentral:lncRNA from 1 species